AUUGAACGCUGGCGGCAGGCCUAACACAUGCAAGUCGAACGAGCGGCGGACGGGUGAGUAAUGUAUGGGAAUCUGCCCGAUGGAGGGGGAUAACUACUGGAAACGGUAGCUAAUACCGCAUACUAUCGGAUGAACCCAUAUGGGAUUGGCUUGUAGGUGGGGUAAAGGCUCACCUAGGCGACGAUCCCUAGCUGGUCUGAGAGGAUGACAAGCCACACUGGAACUGAGACACGGUCCAGACGCCGACGGGAGGCAGCAGUGGGGACUAUUGCACAAUGGGCGCAAGCCGGAUGCAGCCAUGCCGCGUGUAUGAAGAAGGCCUUAGGGUUGUAAAGUACUUUCAGCGGGUAGGCGUUACCCGCAGAAGAAGUACCGGCUAACUCGGUGCCAGCAGCCGCGGUAAUUC
rnacentral:rRNA from 1 species